rnacentral:rRNA from 1 species
GGCAACAAGCCAUAUCACCCUGCAACCCAAGACCGGUUACUGAAGCUAAGCAGGGCUGAGCCUGGUCAGUACCUGGAUGGGAGACCACUAGGGAACACUAGGUUGCUGUUGGAA